rnacentral:rRNA from 1 species
GACAGAGGGUGCAAACGUUGUUCGGAAUUACUGGGCGUAAAGCGCGUGUAGGCGGCACUACAAGUCGGAUGUGAAAUCCCGCGGCUUAACCGUGGAAGUGCACCCGAAACUGUAGAGCUAGAGUCCCGGAGAGGAUGGUGGAAUACUUGGUGUAGAGGUGAAAUUCGUAGAUAUCAAGUGGAACACCGGUGGCGAAGGCGGCCAUCUGGACGGUGACUGACGCUGAGACGCGAAAGCGUGGGGAGCAAACAGG